rnacentral:rRNA from 1 species
UACGAAGGGGGCUAGCGUUGCUCGGAAUCACUGGGCGUAAAGCGCACGUAGGCGGCUUUUUAAGUCAGGGGUGAAAUCCUGGAGCUCAACUCCAGAACUGCCUUUGAUACUGAGAAGCUUGAGUCCGGGAGAGGUGAGUGGAACUGCGAGUGUAGAGGUGAAAUUCGUAGAUAUUCGCAAGAACACCGGUGGCGAAGGCGGUUCUCUGGGCCUGUACUGACGCUGAGGAGCGAAAGCGUGGGGAGCGAACAGG